rnacentral:misc_RNA from 1 species
GAUGAAGAACGUAACGAAAUGCGAUAAGUAGUGUGAAUUGCAGAAUUCAGUGAAUCAUCGAAUCUUUGAACGCACAUUGCGCCCCAUGGUAUUCCGUGGGGCAUGCCUGUUCGAGCGUCAUUUACCCCCUCAAGCUCCGCUUGGUGUUGGGCGUCUGUCCCGCUUCGCGCGCGGACUCGCCCCAAAGGUAUUGGCAGCGGUCGUGCCAGCUUCUCGCGCAGCACAUUGCGCUUCUCGAGGCACCGGUGGGCCCGCGUCCAUCAAGCUCACCCCCCCAGUUUGACCUCGGAUCAGGUAGGGAUACCCGCUGAACUUAAGCAUAUCAAUAAGCGGAGGA